AGGUUCCUAUAAGAGGUUUAUGGCUCUGUUUCAGGCUUUCUUCGACCGUUCUCCAGAUGGCAAAGAGGGAGGUGAGUGACUUUUCCAACACCAGCGGGUGCCCAGACCGCUAAGGAAUGAGCCCUCCCCUUUCUGACUGUGGCAGCCUCCAGCUGGAAUGAGCCAGUGUUCCGCAAUCUAUUCCACAGUGGACUGCGCAAGGAGGUCCAGACAGAGUUUGCAUGUCAGGAUGACAACAUAUCCUUGGACGCUCUCAUCGCAAUGGCCAGCCGUCUAGAUAAUCUUUGGGAGUGCCUGUGUCCACCUUGCCACUUGCCUCCCUCCUUUGGCUGUCCUGAGGCAGAGCCUGAAGCCAUGGAGGUAGGGGCCACACACCUCUCCGCUGCAGAGCGGUGUUGUCGGAGACAGCUGGGGCCCUGUCCAUAUUGCGGCCAGGAGGGGCACCAGCUUCAGUGGUGUGUGUGUGUCCCAACCCUGGGUCCACUAGAGACCUUCUGUCUCCCAGGCUCUAGUGGACCGGUGCUGCUGGGAACUUCAUUGACCAGGCCCUCGCUUCCUCCCUGAACUUAACUUCAUACCUGCUCUCCUCUCCUUUUCCUGUCCAAGCCCUGGAUACGCAACCAUUGGGAUCUGACACAAUUGCACACAUCACAGCACCACUCUCCCUCACCGUGGGACCCAUGCACCAGGAAAGCCUCCCCUUCCUCACCACCGCACCUGUACAUAGUCAUCCUCGGCCUCCUGUGGCUCCAACUUCAUAACCCCACCCUCUCCUGGUCGAGGAUGAGAAUUGCCGCCUGGGGAACAGGAUGCCGGAGGACCCGCUUUCCCACACCCUGUGGUUUCACGUUGGUGGAGGAACCCGCUCCUGCUACCUGCCCUCCAGAGCGCAUCUACAUCCUCACAGGGGUGAGAGAUUGGCUGUUGACCUGGACACACACAUCCCUCACCACUGGACACCCAGGGAUCACCCGCACCAUCAAUCCCUCUCCAAUAAAUACUUCUAUAAAUAGACAAGAGCCUGCAACCAUGGAGAGGCCCCUGCAGUGGACGAGUGGUUCCGACAUAGUGGUUGGUGUGGAACGCCGCCCACGUGAGGCUCAAGCGCGCUGUCCGCAAUAAGGCAGACCGCCACCGCAGUGAGGCUCCCAUGUUACAUCCUGGUGAUCGUGUCUGGCUCUCCACCAGGAACCUCCCGCUCCACCUGCUGGAAGCUGAGCCCCCAGUUUUUGGGGCCUGUCAUGCUAAUGUGUCCCCCUCUGCUUCACAAUGGGAUUCGAUAAACUAUUAGUGUCCAUUGCUAUAUCAACGGUGACUAAUGAUUUGAAAUGUGGUAAUCAUUACAGCCUAAAUGUUAUUUUCAUCAUCGCUAUGCAAACAAGGCUGAUUCCGGACAAUUUUG
rnacentral:lncRNA from 1 species